rnacentral:rRNA from 1 species
CUUUUGGAGAGUUUGAUCCUGGCUCAGGACGAACGCUGGCGGCGUGCCUAAUACAUGCAAGUCGAGCGGACCGAAU